GCCUUCUUAGCUCAGUGGUAGAGCGUUGCACUUGUAUAAUGAGAUUCAAUUGAAAAUGCAAAGGUCAGUCGUUCAAUCCGGCUAGGAGGCA